CCUACGGGGGGCUGCAGUGGGGGAUAUUGGACAAUGGGGGAAACCCUGAUCCAGCGACGCCGCGUGAGUGAAGAAGUAUUUCGGUAUGUAAAGCUCUAUCAGCAGGGAAGAAAGAAAUGACGGUACCUGAGUAAGAAGCCCCGGCUAACUACGUGCCAGCAGCCGCGGUAAUACGUAGGGGGCAAGCGUUAUCCGGAAUUACUGGGUGUAAAGGGAGCGUAGACGGUAAUGCAAGUCUGGAGUGAAAGGCGGGGGCCCAACCCCGGAACUGCUCUGGAAACUGUGAAGCUGGAGUGCAGGAGAGGUAAGCGGAAUUCCUGGUGUAGCGGUGAAAUGCGUAGAUAUCAGGAGGAACACCGGCGGCGAAGGCGGCUUACUGGACUGUAACUGACGUUGAGGCUCGAAGGCGUGGGGAGCAAACAGGAUUAGAUACCCCUGUAGUC
rnacentral:rRNA from 1 species